GUCAUCACAGGUACGACCAAAAAAACACGGUAGCGAUUGGGUGAGAGGGAAAAGGAGAUGGGGGGUUACGCCAGAAUUACCACACGCAGCCUUCUCUCACCUCCUCUCCCCCAGAAACGCCGCCGCCGCAGCCGCCGCCUCCUCAUCUCGUUUCUUUCAGCCGCCGCCAGAUCUAGGAAGCCACCGGGAGGAGAACAACCCGCCAGACGCCACCCCCGUCGACCUAACCCGCAUCUCCCUCGCGCCCAUCGUCCCCUCUUGGCGCCCCCGCCUCUCCUCUCCCCCAUUCUCCUGCCGCAUUCCAUCCCCUGCUCCUCCGCCGUUCGAGUUGAGUCGUUGCUGCAGAGAGCGCCGCCUCCACUCUCCCAGGCCUUCUCCCCAUCCGCGACGUCGGCACACGGUGCGGGCAAGCUGUGGCGUGUCGUCGCCGUGCUGGGUUGGCCGGCCGGUGCCGCGCGGAUCCGGUUGGACGAGGUCGUUGGCGACCUGCCGCGGGAGGGGGACAGCGGGAUCUGCGCCAGGAGGUCCAGGGCACGCUGCUGCCGCUCGUGCAGCAGAACGACGGCCUCACCGACGCGUCCGGGGAGAACUGCGUUGGCCUGGUCUUGUAAUGAGCAGGUGAAGUCAUUUUUAUGGGAUGCAAUAGUUCUUCAUCCACUUCCACGGCCCCAAAAACACAGCAGCCCUCACCCGAGGCGCAGAGCAGCCAGAACCAGUGAUGAUCGUGAGAUCCUGCCGACGAUGAUGGAGCUUCUUAAUCAGUUGGAUGGAUUUUAUGAGCUUAGCAAGAUUUUUGGAAGGUUGAAGGUGGAAUCGAAUUCCGAGCUCGAGGUUGCGCUGGUGCAGUGGUGGCUGCGAUCGGGCCCGAUCUAGGAAAAAUCUUCCUCGUUUUUGGUCUGCAUGGCGAUGAUCUGUUUCUUCAGGAUCAGCUCGUUGCUAGAGCCGGCUCGGGACGCCUCCUAGACGACGACACGAGCUUGAAGCGAGCGGAACACUGAAGAAGGAUCUCGGGGAUGAAGGAAGCGUCAGCGACGACCUCAGGCGAGAGGCAUGUAAUGCAGGUAAUACUAGAGCUUCCAGCCUCCUCAGGCUGGCGUGGGAACAUCAGUAAGGGCUUGGAGCCUGUCAAAGAGGAGGCAAAGAGGACACUGCUGAUGAAACAUGAGGCCGAGACAAAAACAAAUGCCUAUUGGCUCAGUUUGCUAACCCAUAUGCAGUCUGCAUUCGUGCCGAGAAAGGUAUUCUAUAUGUGAGGCUUAUAAGUGCAUAUUCUAUGGGAAACUAGAACAGAAAUAAACCAACUCUCCAAAGCCUGUUUUCAUGGACACUCCGUGUGCAUUGUCCGUGUGCCACUUCUACUGUGGUGAACUAUACGUAGUUACUCUGACUAGAUUUUCUUGAUGCAAGUUUUCUAGACGAACUUUUGAAAGCCUGCUGACCCACGACCAUCUCGAUGAUAGUUAUGAUCACAUAAUUCUGGGUUGAGAAGUUUGUUGAUAUAUCAAAAAGUUCCAGGGGUUGCCAUAUGAGUAACUGAAGGAAAAUAAAUAAAAUCUAUGUUCUAUGCUCUUGGUUAUACUCCACCUGACUGCAAGUAUAAUCCUUUGGCUUGGCUGACAGUUAAGCAUGCACGUAGGGCAGUCAGUAUGUUUACUGAAUUAAGUAUAACUAAACCUUCCGCUUUUCUGCCCCCCACACCACCACCACCACCACCACCAAAGAAAACACAAUAAAUGCAUAUGAAGAUAAUACUGACAUGGCGAGGAAUCUUCCUCUGUAAUUCGGGCUCUAGGGCUUUUCUUGACCAUGCUGUAUACACGAAAUUUUUAACAACAGUUUGCUUUACAUGUAUUUGCUAAUGUAUGAUUAAAUCUGUAUUAGUUGUAUUUUUUAGCGACAUUAUUAUUUGUUGGAUCCCAAUCCAUAUUUUAUCCUUCUUUAGUCUUUUUACUACUAUUUUCCAUACUUGUGUCAUUUACUCUACCAUUGUUUCUUCACUGGCCACACCCGUGCUGGUGCCGUCGCUCACGCUCCACCUGAACAGCGGCAACUAGGAGCUGCCGCGUGGGAACUACGUGUUCGAGGAGCAGGUCAUGUGCCUGGUGCUAGACGUGAUGGCAUGGGAUCAGACCAUCAUUACCAACUACCAGCAACAGAACGCGCAAGUCGUCUACGGCCUCGGCAUGACGUGUUGCCCUUUGCGCCAGCGUAGUGCAACAAGCUUGCAGCGUUGCUAUAUUAUUUUGUAAAGAGAUAGAACUUGUAGUACUGAUCAUGUGAAAUGCGCCGAUGUGGUAGGCAACCAUCUUUUUUGAAUGAAAUGUAUUUUAGAUUGUAAA